GCUGGCGUAGCUCAACGGCAGAGCAAUGGUUUUGUAAACCAUAGGUUGGAGGUUCGAUUCCUCUCGCCAGCU
rnacentral:tRNA from 1 species